GACGAACGCUGGCGGCGUGCUUAACACAUGCAAGUCGAACGGAAAGACCCUGCUUUUGUGGGGUGCUCGAGUGGCGAACGGGUGAGUAACACGUGAGUAACCUGCCCUUGACUUUGGGAUAACUUCAGGAAACUGGGGCUAAUACCGGAUAGGAGCUCCUGCUGCAUGGUGGGGGUUGGAAAGUUUCGGCGGUUGGGGAUGGACUCGCGGCUUAUCAGCUUGUUGGUGGGGUAGUGGCUUACCAAGGCUUUGACGGGUAGCCGGCCUGAGAGGGUGACCGGCCACAUUGGGACUGAGAUACGGCCCAGACUCCUACGGGAGGCAGCAGUGGGGAAUAUUGCACAAUGGGCGGAAGCCCGAUGCAGCAACGCCGCGUGCGGGAUGACGGCCUUCGGGUUGUAAACCGCUUUCGCCUGUGACGAAGCGUGAGUGACGGUAAUGGGUAAAGAAGCACCGGCUAACUACGUG
rnacentral:rRNA from 1 species